GCGGGAGUGCCGGAGUGGUCAAACGGGGCAGGUUUAGGACCUGUUAGCUUAGUGCUUACCAAGGUUCGAAUCCUUGCUCCCGCA
rnacentral:tRNA from 1 species